GCAAGCCAAGCCCUCCCGAGGAGGAGAAGAAAUGGAUCUGAGAACAACGAGCGUUAUCAGAUCCAUUUCUUCUCCUCCUCUCCGGCCGAUCCCUGCUCGAGUUGUUUUUGUUGUCAUGGUUCUUGAUUAGCGUUUUGUUGCCGCAAGCCGGCCAGGGUGGCUCAGACGGGUUCGCUGGUGCUCAACUUUUGACCAGCACGACACCAAGAACCUCACCGUCUUCCAGCCGAUCGACCAUUUCGUGGAGGAGAACCUCAUGAUCCCCCGCUCACAUCAUCUCGAACGAGUUCGGCAUCGAACCCCACCAGUCGGUGCGUGUGGUCGAAACGCCGUCGCCCUUUCUUGUUAAAUUGGUCUUGCUUGCCUUUUUGCCGUCCGAUCGAGCGUUUUGUCGUUUUGUUUUGUUCGGCUCGGAGCCGGAAAGACGUCGAAGGACAGCUCUUCGUUGUCGGGAGAGGUGGUAGCUGGGGAUCUCGCUACUGCAAUCUUGACUUCGUUGGCCUCUCUGUUGUUGUGCGGAAUGAUCGGAGUAGUGGGAAUGCAACAAACGUAGGAAACAGCAGGGCAACCAUGUGUUGUGAUAUCUCAUGCACCAUGUGUCAUUCGAUCCCCGCUUUUCCAGCUUAGUCCACCCAGUGGUUCGUUCACAAGGGACAACGAGUAGAAGGCUUGGUGCAGGUUUGUUCAUUACAGUGUGAUUUCUUUUAUGGCCAUACAUUAGAAUCAUGCACCAUGAGCCUUGCUCGCAGUGUGAUUUCCUUUUUGUUCAACCACUGUCCCUUCCCUUUGCCUUUCCACCCAAGUCGACAAAUCCUUUUCUUUCUUAUUAACUUUUCAAUUUUUCCCUC